rnacentral:rRNA from 1 species
UACGUAGGGGGCGAGCGUUGUCCGGAUUUACUGGGCGUAAAGCGCGUGUAGGCGGCGGCUUAAGUCGGGUGUGAAAGCCCGGGGCUCAACCCCGGGAUGCCGCCCGAGACUGGGUCGCUUGAGGACGGAAGAGGGGAGUGGAAUUCCUGGUGUAGCGGUGAAAUGCGUAGAGAUCAGGAGGAACACCCGUGGCGAAGGCGGCUCCCUGGUCCGUUUCUGACGCUGAGACGCGAAAGCGCGGGGAGCGAACGGG